UUUUGCAUAUCAAAAAGCGGAGGAAAAGAAACCAACAGGGAUUGCCUCAGUAACGGCGAGUGAAGCGGCAACAGCUCAAAUUUGAAAUCUGGCCCUUUCAGGGUCCGAGUUGUAAUUUGUAGAGGAUGUUUCGGCGAGGGCUCCCGUCUAAGUUCCCUGGAACGGGACGUCAUAGAGGGUGAGAAUCCCGUAUGUGAUGGGUUGCUCGAGCCAUGUGAAACUCCUUCGACGAGUCGAGUUGUUUGGGAAUGCAGCUCUAAAUGGGAGGUAAAUUUCUUCUAAAGCUAAAUACCGGCCAGAGACCGAUAGCGCACAAGUAGAGUGAUCGAAAGAUGAAAAGCACUUUGGAAAGAGAGUUAAAAAGUACGUGAAAUUGUUGAAAGGGAAGCGCUUGCAACCAGACUUGUCCGCAGUUGCUCAGCCGGUCUCCUGACCGGUGUACUCUUCUGCGGCCAGGCCAGCAUCAGUUCGGGCGGUUGGAUAAAGGCCCCGGGAAUGUGGCUCUCUUCGGGGAGUGUUAUAGCCCGGGGCGGAAUGCAGCCAGCCUGGACUGAGGAUCUCGCUUCGGCAAGGAUGCUGGCGUAAUGGUUGUAAGCGGCCCGUCUUGAACCACGGACCA
rnacentral:rRNA from 1 species